UUCCUACAAAUCAGACUGUUCCAUGUGAUUAUUUUGGGGAGAGGUAACAUUACAAAUUUGAAUGCUAUGCAGAAUAUGUCUAGGACAUUGCAAUUUUUCUUCUUUAUUAAAUUCAUGAUUAUUUAAAUCUACUUAUCUAUUAGCUAUUUGAUGUGGUUUUUUACAUUCAAUGAAUGUUAUAUAAAAUGAUAACUGCUUUGAUUUUUGGAUUAACCCUGUUUUACCUAAUGAUGUACCUGUCCAGUUUGAAUGGUCAGCUAGAAGCUUGGAAAUAGUGUAAAUUACAGAGGAUCUACUUCAUGUUUAAGCAAUUUUGGAGAUAUUGUUUUGUUUAAGAUGAUAAUGUGUUUAAGUUUAAUAAGUAUAGUUAUGGUUAAUAAGAAUGACAAGAAUCAGAAUCACCUUGGACAAGGAGAUAUACAACAGAAUCAGGCUUAAAAGUGGGACCAGUUCUGAGUCUGACUCCGAGAUGCUAGGUGAAUAAUGAUGUGCAGUAUUGAGCCCCAAAAGAAAUAAUGAAGGAGUCAGAGUGUCAGUCAGAGUGCCAACUGAGUUCAAGUCUGGGAGAUAGUCAGCUGGAAGAAAAUGACAGUUAUCCUGAGAGCAAAAUGAUGUAAAUGACAUACAGGAAAAGUUUGUUAACUUGUGAAUCAAAGCUAGUUUCAUUAGUUGCCAUCACAGUCAAACUUUUCAGAGUGUUUUUUCUCAAAUCUAUAAACUUUCAUGGAUCUUAAGUUCUAAUUUGCUGACAUUGGAAAUAGUGUGUGAUUUUUUUCAUAGUACGUUUUUCUUUUGUUCUAAUCCCUUCA